rnacentral:lncRNA from 1 species
GCAGCCUUUCAUCUUGAAUCAAAGCUAUUCACGAAGUACCCCUUGCUCUUGAACCCAUCAUACAUAUCCCAUUUGCGGAGUAUAAUUUUAUCAUUGAAUGUCAUCAGAGACAUCAAUCAAAUACUCCCUCCUCUUGAAUUUUUUUGUUAUUACAAAGGAAAGAGGGGCGACCCGCAUAGCAAUCCCCUAUGGAUGUGACCAUAAAGACCUCCUUCCAUCGAGAAAUAUUCGAUUCGAAUGACUUUUGCCUUACGGCCGACUCAUUCGAGUCAUAAGCCUCACCAUAGGGCACUCAAAGUGGCCGGUUCUCUCCACCCGAGUCGAGGGGAUUCCUCUUCCUCGCAUGAAUAUGUCACCCCUGUGCCAACCAAG